rnacentral:rRNA from 1 species
UACGAAGGGGGCUAGCGUUGCUCGGAAUCACUGGGCGUAAAGGUGCGUAGGCGGGUCGUUUCUAAGUCAGGGGUGAAAGUCCUAGGAGCUCAACUCCAGAACUGCCUUUGAUACUGAAGAUCUUGAGUCCGGGAGAGGUGAGUGGAACUGCGAGUGUAGAGGUGAAAUUCGUAGAUAUUCGCAAGAACACCAGUGGCGAAGGCGGCUCACUGGCCCGGUACUGACGCUGAGGUGCGAAAAGCGUGGGGAGCAAACAGGAUUAGA